rnacentral:rRNA from 1 species
GACGAACGCUGGCGGCGUGCUUAACACAUGCAAGUCGAACGGAAAGGCCCUGCUUGUGUGGGGUGCUCGAGUGGCGAACGGGUGAGUAACACGUGAGUAACCUGCCCUUGACUUUGGGAUAACUUCAGGAAACUGGGGCUAAUACCGGAUAGGAGCUGCUGCUGCAGGGUGGGGGUUGGAAAGUUUCGGCGGUGGGGGAUGGACUCGCGGCUUAUCAGCUUGUGGGUGGGGUAGUGGCUUACCAAGGCUUUGACGGGUAGCCGGCCUGAGAGGGUGAACGGCCACAUUGGGACUGAGAUACGGCCCAGACUCCUACGGGAGGCAGCAGUGGGGAAUAUUGCACAAUGGGCGGAAGCCUGAUGCAGCAACGCCGCGUGCGGGAUGACGGCCUUCGGGUUGUAAACCGCUUUCGCCUGUGACGAAGCGUGAGUGACGGUAAUGGGUAAAGAAGCACCGGCUAACUACGUG